GACGAACGCUGGCGGCGCGCCUAACACAUGCAAGUCGAACGAGCGAGAGAGAGCUUGCUUUCUCGAGCGAGUGGCGAACGGGUGAGUAACGCGUGAGGAACCUGCCUCAAAGAGGGGGACAACAGUUGGAAACGACUGCUAAUACCGCAUAAGCCCACAGGUCGGCAUCGACCAGAGGGAAAAGGAGCAAUCCGCUUUGAGAUGGCCUCGCGUCCGAUUAGCUAGUUGGUGAGGUAACGGCCCCCAAGGCGACGAUCGGUAGCCGGACUGAGAGGUUGAACGGCCACAUUGGGACUGAGACACGGCCCAGACUCCUACGGGAGGCAGCAGUGGGGAAUAUUGCACAAUGGGGGAAACCCUGAUGCAGCGACGCCGCGUGGAGGAAGAAGGUCUUCGGAUUGUAAACUCCUGUUGUUGAGGAAGAUAAUGACGGUACUCAACAAGGAAGUGACGGCUAACUACGUGCCAGCAGCCGCGGUAAAACGUAGGUCACAAGCGUUGUCCGGAAUUACUGGGUGUAAAGGGAGCGCAGGCGGGAAAGCAAGUUGGAAGUGAAAUCCAUGGGCUCAACCCAUGAACUGCUUUCAAAACUGUUUUUCUUGAGUAGUGCAGAGGUAGGCGGAAUUCCCGGUGUAGCGGUGGAAUGCGUAGAUAUCGGGAGGAACACCAGUGGCGAAGGCGGCCUACUGGGCACCAACUGACGCUGAGGCUCGAAAGUGUGGGUAGCAAACAGG
rnacentral:rRNA from 1 species